AUGGCCACCGCGACGGCGACGGCAGCCUUCGUGGUCCUGCUCCCACACAGCCGACACUCAGCUAGCCACCCCUCUUCUAUCUCUACCGCCGGCGCCGGCACCCGCACCACUCUUGUCCACCACCGCGGCCACGCUGCACGCCGGCGCCUCCCGCUCCGGCUCCCUCGAGCCCGAGCCCUGCUGCCCCACGGCCUCCCUCUGGUCCCGGCCUCCGACCACUGGGGCAACUGGACGGUCCUCCUGUCCGCGGCCGCGCUGGGCGUCUGGUCCGAGAAAAGCACCCGCGCCGGCAAGGCGCUGAGCGGCGCGCUGGUGAGCGUGCUGCUCGGCCUGGCCGCCACCACGGCCGGGCUCGUCGCCGCCGACGCCCCCGCCUACCGCGUGGUGCUGGAGUACCUGCUCCCGCUGGCCGUGCCGCUGCUCCUCUUCCGCGCCGACCUCCGCCGCGUGGUCCGCUCCGCCGGCGCCCUCCUCCUCGCAUUCCUCCUCGGAUCUGUGGCGACGACGGUGGGCACGGUGGUGGCGUUCGCGCUGGUGCCGAUGCGGUCGCUGGGGCCGGACAACUGGAAGAUCGCGGCGGCCCUCAUGGGCCGGCACAUCGGAGGAGCCGUCAACUACGUGGCCGUCGCGGAGGCCCUGCAGGUGACCCCGUCGGUGCUGGCCGCAGGGCUGGCCGCCGACAACGUCAUCUGCGCGCUCUACUUCACCACGCUAUUCGCGCUGGCCGCCAAGAUCCCCGCUGAGGAGACGGCGCACCCCAAAGGGGGAGUCAACGCCAACGGCGAGCCCACUCCGGCUGCCGGCGGCGGCGACAGGCUGCCGGUCCUGGAGAGCGCAACGGCGCUGGCCGUGUCGCUCGCGAUAUGCAGAGCAGGCAGGCACAUGACGGCCCUGCUGGGCGUACAGGGCGGCAGCCUCCCCUGCAUCACGGCAAUCGUGGUGGCGCUGGCGACGCUGUUCCCCUUGCACGUCGGCAAGCUCGCCCCCGCCGGCGAGGCCAUGGCCGUGAUCCUGAUGCAGGUGUUCUUCGCCGUGGUGGGGGCCAGCGGGAGCAUCCGCGACGUCAUCCACACGGCGCCCGGCAUCUUCGCGUUCUCGUUGGUGCAGAUCGCCGUGCACCUGUUGGUGAUCUUGGGCGCUGGGAAGCUGCUGGGGUUGGAGGAGAAGCUGCUGCUCAUCGCGUCCAACGCCAACGUCGGCGGGCCGACCACCGCCUGCGGCAUGGCCACCACCAAGGGCUGGAGCUCCCUGGUCGUCCCCGGGAUCCUCGCCGGCAUAUUCGGCAUUGCAAUCGCCACCUUCCUCGGCAUCGGUUUCGGCAUGUUUGUCCUCAAGCGCAUGUGA
rnacentral:rRNA from 1 species